GAAGGUCAAAAACCAAUAGCGAGGUUUCUUCCUAUCUUCUGAUAGUUGUAUAUGUCGCUCGUCGGAAGUGGAAAACUGUUGCUCGCAAAAUGAUCUCACUCGCGGUCACUGGGAGGCGUGGAGCCGAGGUCUCACUCGAGGUCAUUCGAUCAAGUUAAAAAAGAGGUUAGGGAGGAGAUUUGAUCUGGAGGCUAGGCGUGGAGUGCAGCUGAUCUGGGGUGACCUCGCUCGCUCCCCAUUUCUCGAUCUCGCAUGCUCGCUUUCUUCCAAUCCCUCUUUCUCGGUCGAUCGCCGCCAGGGCUCGCUCGCGGUCAGUGACCGGACUUCAACUCGCGCGUUGGCAUGGCUC
rnacentral:lncRNA from 1 species